CCAUUAAUACUAAAGCAUUUACUGCACUCUCAUUUUACUGCAUUGUCCAUUUGCAGGUGAAGUGAGAAAAGGCAGAGUUAGGAGUAACUGCCCACACUAAAACACUUUGAUUUCAUAUUUCAGAUUCCAACCAGACCUCUGUUCUUCAAACUCCAUUUUUUAAAAACAAUGAAGUUGAAGAAGAAAUCUGAGUGUCUUUGUUUCAGGACAAGGGCCCUGCAGAGCUCCCUUUGACCACCAGAGGUCAGAAGCAAAACAUCUCAGCUACACCCCUGAGCCCUCAUUUCCUCAGUCGCUGUCCUGGAGAGGGAGAAGCAGAGGAAAAUCAGCAGAAAUACCGCUUCAUUCACAGUGAGGAGAAUGGAGACAGUAACAUGAAGGACCGCAGGCGAUGGAGGCGGAAGGUGGCAAGAAAAGAUCAUCAGAUCAUUUGGCUGAUUAAGUUGCUGCUGUGAAGCCAGGAAAAAAUAUUUCAGAAUUCUUGGAGAGGAGACUGUUUUCAUGGCUGUGGGAAGACACAAUGAUCUUCCUCAAGAGCUGCAUGUAACUUGCAGGUAGCAGCUAAUGUUUUCUGCCAAAGGCACUACAGGUAAUGACAGAGUACAGUUUGCAGGUUCUUAUAUUGCAACACUGGAAAUGUGACCGUGGAGAGAACAUGCACCAUUUAAUGUAGGCAAUGUCCUAACCAAGUAGGUUUUGUCUUAUCUACUUGCUAUGAGUGUACGUUUCCAACACUACAGCUGACUUUUAGUUUCAUUCAGAAUGUGCGAGGUAGCUUCAUACAUAAUGCUGAGUCCUACGUUCCUGGAGAGCAAUUCAAUGCCAAGUUCACAUACUUGGUUCCUCUGUGGGUUUGGGUGAGUCUGAUUCUACAAGGUGCUUGGCAUUGUGCAAGAUCAAGGUCCCAGCCCACCAAAGCUCUUAAAUGUAUGAUUAAUUUUUAGUCCCUUUGACUUGACUAAACUGCUUAGCUGGAUUCACUCCCUGGCACUUAAUCUUCCUGUUCGAAUUUCAACAUUAGCAAAAUGAGGAUAAUUCUUUCUUUAAUAUAGAAGGAUAUGGUGAGCAUUAAUUAGCUAAUAUAUGUGGAGUGCUUUGGAGAUAUAAAGGCUAUCUAGAUGUUAAUUUAUGCAGAUAGUGGAAGACGUAGAGGAAAAUAAUUGCUAUCUCUCACCUGUGUGCAGUUUCAGAGCAGUGUUCUUUCCCUCACCCACUGAAGAACAGAAACUCAGCACGGAGACGAGCCCACGCUUAGGAGACACUCAGAACACUCUUAUCAGAUUUAAAACACAUUUCCAUUUAAGGGAAUGCAAUCAGCUUUGUAUUUGCAUUUCCCUUGCAAAUGAGCUUCACUGACUCCUCACAGUGUGCUUUGCACUAUCUGCUUCCCAUUUUUCAGUGCUGUGAUAGCAAACUGUCUCAGCACUGUAGCACACUUUCAUCUACCGUGUAUCUAUAUUUAAUUAUGAACCUGGCAAGGAGACUCCAACGUUGGUGACUGGCAGAUUCUCACAGGUUCCUGUUUCGAGACACUGAACUGGGGCUGCUCGAGAUUUUGUUUUGGCCAAGUGCUUAUCUUGGAUCUAGAGAUAAAUAAAUAAAGCACAUAAAAGGAACUGUUUUAUCUCACUUCACUUGAAGUUGUUAACGCAAGGUUUGUGUUAGAACAAGAACUGUAAAAUGGCUUCGGUGAAGACGUCCCCGCAAUUAGCUUGGAAGGCCUGUAGCACUGGUGUUAUCUCUCUGAAACGGGAUCUGUUGGAAUUGGAAAGACACGACUGCCACCAGAUUGCUUUCCCACAUGACAGAAGUAACAAAACACUGUAUAUCACAGAGCUGGGUGUAUCCCCUUUCCAGGCAGGGAAAAGCCCAACAGCAUGGUUUUGGGGGCUCCCAGGACAUCUGCCCACCAUUUCCAGCCCACUUUCUCUAGCUGAGCCAUGGAUUAAGGCCUACUGCUGAAUCUCAAAAUGGAGAGCAAACACUAAUAUAGUGUUUUACAGAAGCUCUCCCAGUUUGUGUGGGUCUAAGUAUAGCAGGAAGAGAUCUAAGCAGGGCUAAAAAGGAGAAUAAGGGCAAAAAGACUUUGGACAAAUCCCAGAGUUCAAAAUGUUGACAGACUGUUUCCAAUCCAGGUAAGCCUGAAAGGGCCUGGUGCUUUUCAGCUGGGAAAUGGCUUGAAAAUAUUUUGGCUGGUUCUGUCCACUGACCUGAGCAGCGAUGAGCUCUGAGGAGGGCACAAAACAUAGAGGAGACCAUGAGGUGCAGUUCUGCAUGCCACAGCUUUGCUCUUUGGCUUGGGCCUGCCCAUAUGUCUCUGAGCAGAAGUGGCAGCUUUACCCAGUGGCUAAGAUGAUGAGAAAAUUCAUCUUAAGAAGAGCUGCUACUGCCUGGAAAACACUAUAGGUAUGUCUGAGCAGUAGUGAAUAAAAUCUCAGUGACAACUGUACCUGUACACGUCGAUUUACAUUCUCUUUUUCCCUAAUGAAAAAGCAUCAAGCUUUAUUGCUAGUGAGGUUGGUGUUAAUAAAAAACAAACACUCUGGAGGAAAAUGAAGUUUUCAUAAUUUUUAUCUUUGUUUACCAACUUACGUUAGAUUCCGGGUUAAUUUUUUCCAUUCAUAAGGUGAACCGCUGCUAUCUAGAGGAUGAAUUACAUCGCUAAUGCAGCAACUGCAUGAACCUUCUGACUGAUACGUUGUGACUUUAUGGAAAUUUGCUUCUUGCCAGCAACAGGGAUAUCACCAGUGAGGUAAUUGGAGCCCAGUUCAUGGAGAUAACAGCCAUAUGUCAGGGAUUACUGCUAACACCAGAAUUUCACCUGUGGAAAGCUCUGCUGACUGUUUGCAAAAUUAAGUUUACAGUCCCUGAGCAUAGAACUAUGUUCAAAUAUUUAAUUGCAGCAGGUAGAGCUUACAACAUUAAAAGCGUUAUGUAAAAAUCCAUACAGUAACACCAUAAGAACCUGCCAGUUAGUGUCUGCAUUAGAGCAAACCAAUUACGCUGUUACAAUAAGCCAAUCUGUUUUAGAAUUUACUACUGGCUCAUCAGAAGCAGAACAUUUCAGAAUUGAUUUUUUAAAAUAAAGAACCUUU